rnacentral:rRNA from 1 species
UACGUAGGGGGCAAGCGUUGUCCGGAUUUAUUGGGCGUAAAGAGCGUGUAGGCGGUCAGGUAGGUCCGUUGUGAAAACUCGAGGCUCAACCUCGAGACGCCGAUGGAAACCAUCUGACUAGAGUCCGGAAGAGGAGAGUGGAAUUCCUGGUGUAGCGGUGAAAUGCGCAGAAUAUCAGGAAGAACACCCGUGGCUAAGGCGGCUCUCUAGUACGGUACUGACGCUGAGACGCGAAAGCGUGGGGAGCGAACAGGAUUAAGAAACCC